rnacentral:tRNA from 1 species
GGGCCCGUAGCUCAGCCAGGUAGAGUACCGGACUUUUAAAAUCCGGUUGUCUCGGGUUCGAAUCCCGACGGGCCCG